rnacentral:rRNA from 1 species
UACGUAGGUGGCAAGCGUUAUCCGGAAUUACUGGGCGUAAAGGGUGCGUAGGUGGUUUCUUAAGUCAGAGGUGAAAGGCUACGGCUCAACCGUAGUAAGCCUUUGAAACUGGGAAGCUUGAGUGCAGGAGAGGAGAGUGGAAUUCCUAGUGUAGCGGUGAAAUGCUUAGAUAUGACGCAGAACUCCGAUUGCGAAGGCAGCUUACUGGGAUGCAACUGACGCUGAGGCACGAAAGCGUGGGUAUCAAACAGGAUUAGAUACCCU